rnacentral:ncRNA from 1 species
CUCAUUGGGGUGCCUUUAACAUGGCUGAGAGGUGGUCUGCCACCAACCCAUGGAACCUGAUCCGGUUGGGACCGGCGUAGGGAAUGAGGUU